UGAGGAAUCUUGGACAAUGCCCGAAAGGGUGAUCCAGCGACACCGCGUGAGUGAUGAAGGCCUUCGGGUCUUAAAACUCUGUCAAGUGGGAAGAAAUCCGCUCUGCGGAUUGACGGUACCACUGAAGGAAGCUCCGGCUAAUCCCGUGCCAGCAGCCGCGGUAAGACGGGAGGGGCAAGCGUUACCCGGAUUUAUUGGGUGUAAAGGGUCCGUAGGUGGUCAGGUAUGUCUAUUUUGAAAGCCUCUGGCUCAACCAGAGAUUUGGAAUAGAAACUGCCCGACUAGAGGCCAGGCGAGGAAAGCGGAACUGCUGGUGUAGCGGUGGAAUGCGCAGAUAUCCGGAGGAACACCAGUGGCGAAAGCGGCCUCCUGGACCACUCCUGACACUCAGACGCGAAAGCUAGGGUAGCAAACG
rnacentral:rRNA from 1 species